UCUCAAUAGAAGACACUUUCUACUAGUUUUGGAAAAACAUCUUCUCCCCUACUGGUUGAACUGCUCUUUACUAAAAGUAGGAACUGUAUGUACAUGGACAUUUUAGUAAGUUGAUAAUUUUCUUCCCAAUUAAGAUUCUGAAAAUUAUAGGCUUCUUUCUAUAUGAAUUUCUAGUAAUGCAUGUAACACAAUUUUGCAGAGUGUUGAAUUGAAG
rnacentral:misc_RNA from 1 species